rnacentral:rRNA from 1 species
UACGUAGGCAGCGAGCGUUGUUCGGAGUUACUGGGCGUAAAGAGUGCGUAGGCGGUUUCGUAAGUUUGGUGUGAAAUCUCCCGGCUUAACUGGGAGGGUGCGCCGAAAACUGCGGGGCUUGAGAAUGGGAGAGGUAAGCGGAAUUCCUGGUGUAGCGGUGAAAUGCGUAGAUAUCAGGAGGAACACCAGCGGUGUAGACGGCUUACUGGACCACGACUGACGCUGAGGCACGAAAGCGUGGGGAGCAAACAGG